rnacentral:rRNA from 1 species
GGGCCCGCACAAGCGGUGGAGCAUGUGGUUUAAUUCGAUGAUACGCGAGGAACCUUACCAGGGCUUAAAUGUAAGUUGCAUUAGAUAGAGAUAUCUAUUUCUUCGGACCACUUACAAGGUGCUGCAUGGUUGUCGUCAGCUCGUGCCGUGAGGUGUCAGGUUAAGUCCUAUAACGAGCGCAACCCCUGUUGUUAGUUGCCAUCGAGUCAUGUCGGGAACUCUAACAAGACUGCCGGUGCAAACCGUGAGGAAGGUGGGGAUGACGUCAAAUCAUCACGGCCCUUACGUCCUGGCUACACACGUGCUACAAUGGGUAGAACAAUAAGUUGCUAAGUUGCGAAACCAAGCG